GAAUGUGAGGGUGAUCUGGCUGUGACAUCUGUCACCCUAUUGAUUGCCAGGGUUGAUUUAGCUGAUUUGGCUGGCUAGGUGGGCAUCCCCUUCCUCCCUCAAUGCUCCAUGUGCAUCCCCCCAGAAGCUGUAUGCUCCAUCAAGGAGGAUGACCACCCUGAAUAGAGGAGGAUCGUUCAUCUGUCAAGGGUAUACAAAUAGCUGUGCUUCCCUGCUAGAAGGUCCAAACAAGCUCAGAUGAGGCUCUUGAACUGCCUUUAGACAUCACUGCCCAGAAAGGAUUUCACACCAAAAACAGGCCCCCAGACCCGAGAGUAUGAUUUU
rnacentral:snRNA from 1 species